ACAAGAGGCUAUUCUUCAAGGUUAAACUUUUUCCACUUAAAUCUAAGUUCUUCAAAGAUUUAACAAGUACCUGUGGUUCCAUCCAAUGGCUAGCAUCAAAGAUUUUCUAACCAAGCAAUCGUAAUCAUUCUUUUUAAUACGUUGAGCUUUGGCUACAGGAUUCCUCAUCCCCAACUAAGCAAGUUUAGGAUAGGCUGAAUUUAUUGUCUCGAUCCCUUAGUUGUUUAAUGUUGCAUCUUUACUAAUGCUUGUCCUUUGAGUUUGAUAUCUUCACUAAAAACUUAUUGGAAAGAUUUUUUUUCCAUCCAGUCUGCAUGAUGCUUUUGUUUUUCUUUGCUUAUCAUCAU
rnacentral:misc_RNA from 1 species